rnacentral:rRNA from 1 species
CAGUAGCCGCGGUAAUACGUAGGGGGCAAGCGUUGUCCGGAACUAUUGGGCGUAAAGCGCGCGCAGGCGGUUUUUUAAGUCUGGUGUCUAAGUGCGGGGCUCAACCCCGUGACGCACUGGAAACUGGGAGACUUGAGUGCAGAAGAGGAGAGCGAAAUUCCACGUGUAGCGGUGAAAUGCGUAGAGAUGUGGAGGAACACCAGUGGCGAAGGCGGCUCUCUGGACUGUAACUGACGCUGAGGCGCGAAAGCGUGGGGAGCAAACAGGAUUAGAUACCCGCGUAGUCCCUGUCUCUUAUACA